rnacentral:lncRNA from 1 species
GCGGCCGCGACUUCGGGGACCUGCUCAUCUACUCCGGGGCGCUGCUGGUUUUCCUGAGCCUGCUGGGCUGGAUUCUCUGGUACACCGGCAACAUCGAGAUCUCGCGCCAGGAGCUGGAGCGCGACUAUGGCCUGCGGCCUUCGGCGAUUGCCCGCCUAGCGCGCAAGCUGUCCCGCCGCUGGUCGGCGCCCGCCACCGCCAGUCCCCGUACCACAGCCGGUCUCCGCUCAGCGCGCAGAGCGGCCCGCACGCCCCAGCCGUCCGCCUCCGGCUCCCGCCGAGUGCGUCUGCAGCUCGCCACGCUUGAGGCGGGGCCCGGGACGGCGGGCACAGGCAGCGAGUGAGCCACAGAUAACCUCAUCCUAAGGACCUGACUGAGACAUGCAGCUGCCGUGGACAUCACUUGGACAGCAGGAAACCCACCUGUCACCUCACUUGGAUAAAUGUUUCACUUUUGGAGCA